rnacentral:lncRNA from 1 species
CUGCAACACUGUCUCUAUGACUGCAUAUGCAAUUAUGUAUACAUGCAUAACUGUUUCCAAGUCAUGCUCCUUGGAAGAGCAAGCCAUUGACGGUCACCCCGCCGUCUACGAUAAUAGUCUGCCCAGUAAUGUAAGAGGCUGCAGGUAGGCAUAGAAAUGCUACCAAGGAAGACACCUCCUCUGGCUCUCCAGGACGUCUUAAAGGGCAUCGAGAGUUUAUCAUCUCCAAUUUCUUUUCAUUUCGGAGAACCUGCAUGCAUAGAAGAGAUAAUGGAUGAAAAGAGAAUGGAUGUGUAGGACACAUAUAUUAGCGACGAUCUUAAAAAUUGGUCAAGCUAUUCGUAAACAAAUUAAUUAAGACUAGAUGUAUGAUCUAAACUUGCUGUAAACUUUUCACCGAAAAACUUGCUGUAAACAAGUCAGGUCUAAGAACCUAUACAGACAUAUGGACUUUCGGCAAAACCCAACUUUUUAUUCUAAUUUUGACCAUAGGUUUUUGGCAGACUCAUUAACGAAAUACGGAUUAGCUUGAAGUUAUGAGAUGAUUGUAAUAUAAGAAGUUAAAACAAUUCACUCAUGUAUCUUAAAUGUGGUUUUGAUUUUCUUGCCGCUACAUCGAUUGUAUUUAAAAAAAAUAAAAAUAAAAGGCAUGCACAAGAACGUGAUCCAAAUAAUCUUACAGGUUCAGAGAGGGGAGUCGUGAUGAACCAAGGCGCCACACUGUUGGUCCUUAUAUUAUCCUUCGCCCACUCACAUGCUAAGUUUUUUGCUAACUGAUUCAUUGCGCCUGAGAUGCAAUAAAGAAAAGCCACACUUUGGUCUAACAUUAAAAAUACACACCAAAAACAGCGUAAUCAAAUUUUAGGUUAGUCUAAAAGUGAUAUAAACAAUGUAUGAUACUUUUCAAUUUUUUAAUCUGAUUUAAGGUGUUAGUCUAAAAGUGAUAUUUAGAUUUGAAUGAAUUUUUAACUAAGUAUAAACAGUAUAUGAUACUUUUCAAUUUUUAAUAAAAGUCGAAAUCUAUAUAAGAAAAUUAACUAUAAGCACCUUUAGCAGCAGAAUAUAUAGAUGCACCAUUUAUUGAGACCACACCAGCAGUAGAGGACAGAAAAACAAUGUUAGCAGCUCCUGCAGCUUUGAGAAGAGGAUGUGAAAGUUGGCAAAAGUUGUAAGCGGAUUCAAGAUUGGUACUCAUUAUGAAUGAGUAAUCUUCGGCUGUGUACUCUACCGUUGCUUUCGCUUCGACAAUCCCCACAUUGUUUAUCUAUAACAAGACAUUAUUGAAAAGGUUUAGCAUAGCAUAACGAUUUUAGUUUAUAUGUAUUAUUGAAAAAUACAUGAAAAUUAUGUGUAUUAAACGUAAAAAAGUACAUCUUUGAGUUUUAAAAAACGUACAAUUUUACAAAUUAUUGAAAUUUGAAAUGUGUACAACAAACAUAAUUAUUUAUGAGAGGAUGUUUAGUUUGUCUUGAAAGUGUGAUGAUGGUUAUUCAUGAUUCAUGCACAUAUGUUGUUUCAACUGAUCAGUCUUCUACUUACAAGGAUGUUGAGUUUGCCAUCAAAAAGUGAUGAGACCUUGUUUAUAAGCUCCUCUCUUUGGGUUUUUGACACCACAUCACAGACUGAGCCAGUGACUUGAAAACCCUUCUUCUCCCACUGACUCAGGCAGUCAUUAAGGUCAACUUCAUUUCGGGAACAAGUAUGCACAAUUGCACCCAGCCCUGCCAAUUCCUCCACUAUCGCAUACCUAAAUAAAACUUUACUAAUUUAACAUAGAGCAAUACAAAAUAAUUCAAACCCAUAAUUCUAAAACAGAAGAAAACACGGGACAAGUGGAGAAAUAAAGAGAAUAUUGCAUUGGAUGUAUAGGAAAAUUAAAACUAACAGAAGAUUAAUGUUCUUAAGUAUCCAAAUUUAGAGAAGCUAACCCAAUUCCUUUGGUUCCACCGGUGACAAGAGCUGUCAUUCCACGUAGAGACCAUGUCCUCUCUCUGCUAUUCAUCUCUAUCUGCUCUCUAAUCUUCCUGUCUGCUCUCUAAUCUAUCUUUAUGCAAAUACUUUGUGGUUUCGGUUAUAUUUCUUUUCGAUAGGAUAACUAUUGUAUAUUUUGGCGGCCAGGGAAAGGUACGCGUGCCAUCUGUUCAUUCAGCAACUUGCAACAUUUUGGUUGCUUGUUUUGACGUGGCAAACUAAUGCAAAUUGAUUGUCCAAUUUGAAUUUGACUAAAUUAUAUUUCAUCCAAUUUCAACAUCUUACAAUGACUGUCUAUUUCAUACAACUUUCGAUUCAAUCGUUACACAGUGAUUCAAUAAUUCAGGACGAAUUCUAAUCUCAUAUUCUAUAAAGCUCGUUUUGAAUUUGAUUCGUGACACCGAUGAAUUAUACACUAUAAAGAAUUGAAGUUUAAAGAACACUAUUUCAACAAACUUUUGGAACUAGAAAGCAAAGAUACUUUUGGAGCUAGAAACAAAUGGAAGGUAUUACGGUUCGUCCUGAACGAGAUCGAUGUCUUUUCGGUUAAUUUUUCAGCAAAUAGACAUGUCAUUGAGAGUAUUGUUUAAACCCAUAAACAUUUUGAACUAUUUUUACUUAACAUCAUCAUAUUUAAAAGGGCUUUAGUUAUUUCACUAGCACUUUCAAUUGGAAACCGCCCCCUGUAACAAGCUAGACAUAUGAAGUUAUGAGAAUACUUAAAGAGCAAGUCGUCCAAAUCAUCUUUAGGUAAUCUUUGGAGGGGUCAGUUGAUGUUGCUUAAAGAGUUUUUGUAACAUUUCUCGUCUAAGUUCACCUCAGUACUUAAGUUUAAUUAUUUUUUAAUCUUUAAUUGUACGAAAAGAAAAAAAAGGGACAUAUAACAUGAAUGUAGGGUCAUCAUAUCAACUAAAAAAGCUUCAUUGGAGUAUUUCGUCGAGCACCUAGUAGGCACCUACCAAUUCCUGCCAACAUAUACCGAAAGCUUAUGCUAACGUAUGUCGACAACUAUUAUUAUUGUAGAGGCUUGUCAAUGGUGGAUGCAAGAUGCCGUGGAGUAAUGUUGAAGAUUGUUAAGACUUGUCAACUAAGGUAUUUCAUUGAGCACAUGGUGGUCACAAUAGAAUCACACAAGAGGAGAGAAAGAAGACAAAUGUGAUAGAAUAAAGUAGAAGAAGUAGGAGGAGGAGGUUGUAAAUUUCGUUUGCCUUAGUUGUUUAUAGGGGUCAAAUAUAAUACGCAAACAAAUAUACAUGAAGGUUUUUAACUUGUUGGGUCAAGAGCAACCAAUGAUCUUAUGCUGACUUUGUCACUGAUAAUAAGAUCCCUGUCUUAAUUUUUUGCUAAGAACAUAAAAAAUCUUGUAUCGUUGAGUAUUGAUAGGAACAUGUCAUCAGCCUUGUUGUAUCUUUGAGGGGCCAAGGAAAAAGAUGAUGUGCAAUGCUUCUUGAGGAGUUUUGUUGUUUCUCAAUAAAAUCUAGUCAUUUGAAUUUCUUGCUUCUAGUACUACCUAAUGCUUGAAGUUUGAACAUGUUAUAGAAGCAUUUUUUAUUGUUUUGAUCAUACAUACAUGUCGAUCAUUUUCAAUGAACUGGCGAUUUCGGUGGUGCUCUUUGAGAUGUUGGAGUCUUCUCUUCAUCAGGUUUGGCGUGAUCUCAGGCGUUUGUUGGUGGCGUUCUAGCGGCGGCGAAGGGUAGCAAGUUGCUAGGGUUUGUUGCGGUUUUUUUCUUUUGGGUGGUCUCAAACUUUUGUUUUGGGCCAUUUUUGCUUUACUCUGGAGGCCUACAUCUAUGUUGUGUGCUUAUUGUGAUUGAGCUUCUUUCUUUGUAAUUAUGUUGUCUUGAUAAUAAUUUUAUCCUUUAAAUAAACAACAAAAAAAAAUUUUCCAAACUUGGAAGCUCUUCUACUAGAGUGAAACGAAAUGUCAAUAGACCGAAUGGUUGGCAAUCUUUUAUUUACAUAUUAAAUUAUAAAUUAAUGUCACCUAUUUUCACAUACAAUUAAAGCACACCACUUUAGAAUUAGAUACGAGAUUUUAUUUUUCCAGACCUGCAGCACUGUCUCUACGACUGCAUAUGCAAUUAUGUAUCCAUGCAGAACUGUUUCCAAGUCAUGCUCCUUGGAAGAGCAAGCCAUUGACGGUCACCCCGCCGUCGACGAUAAUAGUCUGCCCAGUAAUGUAAGAGGCUGCAGGUAGACAUAGAAAUGCUACCAAGGAAGACACCUCCUCUGGCUCUCCAGGACGUCCUAAAGGGCACCGAGAGUUUAUCAUCUCCAAUUUCUUUUCAUUUCGGAGAAACUGCAUGCAAAGAAGAGAUAAUAGAUGAAAAGAGAAUGGAUGUGUAGGACACAUGUAUUAGCGACGAUCUUAAUAAUUGGUCAAGUUAUUCGUAAACAAAUUAAUUAAGAUUAGAAGUAUGAUCUAAACUUGCUGUAAACAAGUCAGGUCUAAGAACCUAUACAUGAAUAAACAAGACAUAUGGACUUUUGGCAAAACCCAACUUUUUAUUCUAAUUUCAAUUAUGGGCUUUUGGCAGAAUCAUCAACGAAAUACGAAUUGGCUUGAAAUUAUGAGAUGAUUGUAAAUAUAAGAUGUUAAAAGAAUUCACUCAUGUAUCUUAUAUGUAGUUUUGAUUUUCCUGCCGCAACAUCGAUUGUAUUUAAAAAUAAAUAAAAAUAAAAUGCAUGCACAAGAACGUGAUCCGAAUAAUCUUACAGGUUCAGCGAGGGGAGUCGUGAUGAACCAAGGUGCCACACUGUUGGUCCUUAUGUUAUCCUUCGCCCACUCACAUGCUAAGUUUUUUGCUAACUGAUUCAUUGCACCUGAGAUACAGUAAAGAAAAGCCACACUUUGGUCUAACAUUAAAAAUCACACACCAAAAACAGCGUAAUCAAAUUUUAGGUUAGUCUAAAAGUGAUAUAAACAAUAUAUGAUACUUUUAAAUUUUUUAAUCUGAUGUAAGGUGUUAGUCUAAAAGUGAUAUAUUUUUUUCAAAGAAUUGAAUGAAUUUUUAACUAAUUAUAAACAAUAUAUGAUACUUUUCAAUUUUUAAUAAAAGUCGGAAAUCUAUAUAAGGAUUAACUAUAAGCACCUUUAGUGGCAGAAUAUAUAGAUUCACCAUCUAUUGAGACCACACCAGCAGUAGAGGACAAAAAAACAAUGCUAGCAGCUCCUGCAGCUUUGAGAAGAGGAUGUGAAAGCUGGCAAAAGUUGUAAGCAGAUUCAAGAUUGGUACUCAUUAUGAAUGAGUAAUCUUCAGCUGUGUACUCUAGCGUUGCUUUCGUCAAGCUAGUCCCCACAUUGUUUAUCUAUAACAAGACAUUAUUGUAAAGGUUUAGCAUAACAUAACGAUUUUAGCUUAUAUGUAUUAUUGAAAAAUGCAUGAAAAUUAUGUGUAUUAAACGUAAAAAGUACAUAUAUACGUGUACACAUUUUUGAGUUUUAAAAAACUUACAAUCUUACAAAUUAUUGAAUUUUGAAAUGUGUACAACAGAGUUAUUUACGAGAGGAUGUUUAGUUUGUCUUGAAAGUGUGAUGAUGAUUCAUGAUUCAUCCACAUAUCUUAUUUCGUCCUGGUUUGGUACUGAGGUGAUUCUGAAAAAAGUAGAUAUCAAAAAAAGUUCCCAGCUUUUUUAUGUUUGGUAAACAUUCAGCUUCAACUUUUUUUCACAGUUUUGGGUGAAAAAAAACCAAAAACACAAAGCUGCAAAACCUAGCUUUGAAAAACCAGUUUUUUUUUCACAUCUGUUUUACAUAAAAGUUUAUCAAACACUAUAAUAUUGUUUUUUUUUUUAAAAGUACUUUUACAAAAAAGUUUACCAAACACUCUACUGCUUUAUUUUACAGUUGCUUAUUCUCACAGCAUAGCAGAAACAAUUUUUUUCAAAACACAACAAUACCAAACCAGCCCUUCAACUGAUCAAUCUUUACUUACAAGGAUGUUGAGUUUGCCAUCAAAAAGUGAUGAGACCUUGUUUAUAAGCUCCUCUCUUUGGGUUUUUGACACCACAUCACAGACUGAGCCUGUGACUUGAAAACCCUUCUUCUCCCACUGACUCUGGCAGUCAUUAAGGUCAACUUCUUUCGGGAACAAGUAUGCACAAUUGCACCCAGCCCUGCCAAUUCCUCCACUAUCGCAUACCUAAAUAAAACUUUACUAAUUUAACAUAGAGCAAUACAAAAUAAUUCAAACCCAUAAUUCUAAAACAGAAGAAAACAUGGGACAAGUGGAGAAAUAAAGAGAAUAUUGCAUUGGAUGUAUAGGAAAAUUGAAACUAAAAGAAGAUUAAUGUUCUUAAGUAUCCAAAUAUAGAAGCUAACCCAAUUCCUUUGGUUCCACCGGUGACAAGAGCUGUCAUUCCACGAAGAGACCAUCUCCUCUCUCUGCUAUUCAUCUCUAUCUGCUCUCUAAUCUAUCUUUAUGCAAAUACUUUGUGGUUUUUAUUAUAUUUCUUUUCGAUAGGAUAACUAUUGUAUAUUUUGGCGGCCAGGGAAAAGUACGCGUGCCAUCUAUUCAUUCAGCAACUUGCAACAUUUUGUUUGCUUGUUUUGGCGUGGCAAACUAUGCAAAUUGAUUGUCCAAUUUGAAUUUGACUAAAUUAUAUUUCAUCCAAUUUCAACAUCGUUCAAUGACUUUCUAUUUCAUACAACUUUCGAUUCAAUCGUUCAAUAGUUCAGUACGAAUUCUAAACUCGUAUUCUAUAAAGCUCGUUUUGAAAACUUGAUUCGUGACACUAAUGAAUUAUACACUAUAAAGAAUCAAAGUUUAAAGAACACUAUUUCAACAAACUUUUGGAACUAGAAAGCAAAGAUACUUUUGGAGCUAGAAAACAAAAGGAAGGUAUUACGGUUCGUCCUGAACGAGAUCGAUGUCUUUUUGGUUAAUUUUUCAGCAAAUAGACAUAUCAUUGAGAGUAUUGUUUAUAGGCAUACAAUUCUUCUUGCUCCACAUUUUUUAAGGUUAAAUUACAUUUUACCCCAUCAAGUAUGGUAUAAAUUACAACCUUAUACAACAUCUUUAAAACAUUUCAAUUUCAUACAUUUAAUUAUAUUUUAUUUUCAGUUUUAUACAUCCGUUAAAAUAUCUGUUAAGUCAACCGUUACAUGAUAAUGUGGUAAAUGAUGACAUGAUUCUCAACUUUGCACCAUGUGAAUAAGAAAAUAAUAAAAAAGGAUUAUUUAAUAAAAAAUCAAUUUAUAUUAUAAUUAAAAACAAACAAAAAUUGAAAAGGGCAUCUGGGCAAUCACCCUCUUCCUCCUCCAGCACCACCACCAACGCACCUACGAAACCCUAGCCGUAAAGAGAAACGCGCACAGCUUCCAUCUCUCUAUCGGCAUAGCCCCAUGUACGAUCAGCCAUGGGCAAAUUUCACGGAUCGUUCGCACAUGCCCUUAUCCAUUCACGCAAGGACCUGCAACCAGAUAUCGACCCGCUACUGAAACCCAGACCAUAAAUCUGAUUGAAGCCCAAACCACUGCCGCACCUGAUCGAUUCUGAACCACGAAUCUGUUCUGAACCACCGCUACGAUAUUAGACCCGAUGAACCACAAAGAGCUGCCAUUUGAUUGUCGCGAUGACCUCUGCCGCAAUCUGUUUGAACCACCGCACCGCGCCCAGACCCCUGCAUCCACAAGCCCGACCUGCUUGCCUCGAGCAGAUGUAACCAAAAAAGCCGGUACCCUUACCAUAUUUGUACUGCACCUGCAUCCACUAGCACCGUCUAGCGCCUGUAUCAAGCCAAAUCCUCAUUUAUUUUCUAUUUUCGUGGUGAAAGGGGGCUUCAAGCCCAGAUCCUAUUUCGUCAAUUUUAAAUGGAGUUGAAAUGAAAUUUUCAAAAUCUUUACAAUUUUUUAAAUUUGCAAAUCAAAGGAAUUCAUAAAAUGAACACAAUUUCAUCAAUUUGGAGCUUUUGAAGUUGUUAAGGGUUGAAGAGGAGGAGGAAAACGAGUUUGGAGAAAGAAAGGCGGCGAGGUUGCUCGAGAAGAUGUAGGGUGGGGUGGGGGGGGAGGUUGCGGGGGAGGUGGGGGGUGGGGCGGGAAGGGUGGGUUUGGGUUGCGGGGAAGGGGAAGGGGGGCGGUUGCGGGUGGUUUUUUUGGAUGGGAGGGUAGGUGAAGAGAGUCGAGGAGAGGAAGAAGGUAGGUGGGGAAGAUGGGUUUCAGUUUUUUUUUUAUUUUUUAAGUGUAAAUUAUUAUAUUUUAAAUGCAUAAAAAAUUAAUUUGUUUGUCAUGGCAUAAAUUUAGCAAUCAUGUCAGCAUAAAUGUAGAUCUCAUAUUUGUCACGUCAUCAUUUAAUUGUAUAUAUGAAAUUGAUAUAAAAUGAUAAGUAGAUGCAUGAAAUUAAAAUGUUUGUAAGAUAACAAUAUAUAUGAAAUUGAAAUAAAAUGAUAAGUAAAUGUAUGAAAUUAAAAUAUUUUAAAAAUAUUGUAAGAAGUUACAAUCGAUCUCAAACUUAAAGAGAUAAAAUGUAAUUUUUUUUUUUAAUGCAAUCUUGUUAAGGGUCACAGAAUGAGUUAAAUAUUCCCACGACUAUACGUAAGAAUCUCGGUCUGAUGGGAUGAAAAUAUGGCUCCCUUUGAAAGUAUUUUUUUUUUUUUUUUACAUUGCGUAGCAUGUUUGUCUUCCGCAAAACACUUCCAAGUAUCUUUUAAACCAAAAACAUUUUAAACUAUUUUUACUUAACAUUAUCAUGUCUCUGCAAUUGCUUUAGUUAUUUAAACAGCAUUUCGAAUUGGAAACAGGCUCUACAACAAGCUAGACAUAUGAAGUUCUGAGAAUAGUUGAUAAGCAAGUUGUCCAAACCAUAUUUAUGUAAUCUUUGGAGGGUUCAGUUUAAAGCAUUUUUCUGACAUCUAUCAUCUAAGUUCACCUCACCACUUAAAUUAAUUAUUUUUUAAUUUUUAAUUGAACGAAAAGUAAAAAAGGGGCAUAUUACAUGAAACGUAAUAAGAUUCCUAUCUAAUUUUUUUUCCAAGAACCAAAAAAAAAAUUACUUGUAUCGUUGAGCAUUGAUAGAGAUAUGCCGUCCAGUAAUCCAGAAAAUUAAUUUUAUGAUCAGCCAUGUAAGGAAAACGAUGAUGUGCAAUGCUUCUUGAGGAGUUUUGUUGCUUCUCAAUAAAAUCUAUUUAUUUGAAUUUCCUGCUUCUACUACUACCUAUUGCUUGAAGUUUGCAUAGAUUAUAGAAGCAUUUUUUAUUGUUCUAAUCAUACAUGUCGAUCAUUUCCAAUUAACUGGCGAUCUUGGUGGUGUUGUUUGGAGGAUGUCGCAAUCUUCUCUCCAUCCAGUUUGGGGGUUGUGUUUAGCCGAUCUCAGGCGUCUGUUGGGAACGAUGGUUUGAGAUGGUGGGUUGGUGGCGUUUUGGCAGUGGAGUAGCAAGUUGCUAGGAUUUGUUGCGGUUUUUUUGUGCUCAAACCUUUGUUUUGGGCCAUUUUUGCUUUUACUUUGAAGGUUGAGUUGAAUAUCAGAGUGCGCAACGAACAAGACUAACAAGAAUAAUAAGAAUAUUAUUAAACUAACUGAUAAUGCCGGAACGGCUACAAAACCCUAAGAGACUAAUAACUUGUUAUUUCUAUAGAGUUACAAAGUACCAUAUAUAUAGAAAAGUAAUCUAACCCUAAUAGACAAGAAAACGAAACCCUAAUUCUAACGGGCUAAGCCCAAAAUACCAAACAUUAAAAUAAAUCUAAAUAAUAAUAUUUUCCAAGACCCCCGUCAAACUCAUGGCGGUACACGACAUGAGUUUGCUAAAAUAGAUGUGGAUGCAAGACUUCAAAUUCCAGUGCUAAUGCCGAUGUCGAUGGCAAUGCUAAUGUCGAUGUCGAUGCCGAUUUCCAAUGCCAAAUUCCAAUACCAUGCCCAAUGCCAAGUUCCAAUACCAUACCCAAUGCAAGAAUACACGGGCAACAAAACCUCAAAACAACCAAAUUUUUUUUUCCUUCCUUCUCCCCCCCCCCCCUUUUUGUUUUCCUUCCUUCGUCCUUCCUUUUUUUUCUUAUGUGCGAACCAACCAGCAACAUCAGCCUUUCUUUUUUUUUUUUUUCACAGGUGUACGGUUGUGGACGGAUCCAGAUGCAAGGUGGGGCUGGGGAAUGCAGAAAUCCUAGUGCGAUGAAGCAUUUUCAAAUUUGGGUGUGAGACAAAUUCACCAAAUUCUUUUUUUUUUCAAAAACAGAAUUUUUUUUCCUUUCUUGAAGACUACCAAGGACAAACUGAAAACCAAACCAGAAAACGUAAAAAAUCUACGAAUGGAAACUGGAAAGAAAUAAAACUGAUACGAACAAACAGAAGUAGAUUAGAUCCCGAAGAAUCAAACAUGCUCUAAAACCAAGUUGAAUAUCAGAGUGCAACAAGACUAACAAGAAUAAUAGGAAUAUUAUUAAAUUAACUGAGAAUGCAGGAACGGCUACAAAACCUAAGAGACUACAUUGUGAAUAAUUUGUUAUUUCUAUAGUGUUACAAAAUACCAUAUAUAUAGAAAAGUAAUCUAACCCUAAUAGGCAAGGAAACGAAACCCUAAUACUAACGGGUUAAGCUCAAAAUAUCAAAUAUUAAAAUAAAUCUAAAUAAUAAUAUUUUCCAACCGGUUCAUAUUUGCGUUGUGUGCUUAUUGUAAUUGAAUUUCUUUCUUUGUAAUUUUGUUGUCUUGGUAAAAAUUUUACUCUAAAAAAAAUCGAGGCUUGAAAGCUCUUCCAAUAGAGCGCUACUAAAUGUCAAUAGACCAAAUGUUUGGCAAUCUUUUAUUUUCUUAUUUAAUUAGAACAUUAAUGAUGUCACCUAUUUGCACAUACAAUAAAAGCACACCACUUUGGAAUUAUUAAAUACGAGAUUUUUUUUUAGAACUGUUUCCAAGUUAUGCUCCUUGGAAGAGCAAGCCAUUGACGGUCACCCCGCCGUCGACGAUAAUAGUCUGCCCAGUAAUGUAAGAGGCUGCAGGUAGGCAUAGAAAUGCUACCAAGGAAGACACCUCCUCUGGCUCUCCAGGACGUCCUAAAGGGCACCGAGAG